CCUACGGGGUGCUGCAGUAGGGAAUAUUGCUCAAUGGGGGAAACCCUGAAGCAGCAACGCCGCGUGGAGGAUGAAGGUUUUAGGAUUGUAAACUCCUUUUGUUAGAGAAGAUUAUGACGGUAUCUAACGAAUAAGAACCGGCUAACUCCGUGCCAGCAGCCGCGGUAAUACGGAGGGUGCAAGCGUUACUCGGAAUCACUGGGCGUAAAGAGUGCGUAGGCGGGGUAAUAAGUCAGAUGUGAAAUCCUGUGGCUUAACUACAGAACUGCAUUUGAAACUGUUACUCUGGAGUGUGGGAGAGGUAGAUGGAAUUCUUGGUGUAGGGGUAAAAUCCGUAGAGAUCAAGAGGAAUACUCAUUGCGAAGGCGACCUGCUGGAACAUUACUGACGCUGAUGCACGAAAGCGUGGGGAGCAAACAGGAUUAGAUACCCGAGUAGUC
rnacentral:rRNA from 1 species